GAUGAACGCUGGCGGCGUGCCUAAUACAUGCAAGUCGAGCGAACAGACGAGGAGCUUGCUCCUCUGACGUUAGCGGCGGACGGGUGAGUAACACGUGGAUAACCUACCUAUAAGACUGGGAUAACUUCGGGAAACCGGAGCUAAUACCGGAUAAUAUAUUGAACCGCAUGGUUCAAUAGUGAAAGACGGUUUUGCUGUCACUUAUAGAUGGAUCCGCGCCGCAUUAGCUAGUUGGUAAGGUAACGGCUUACCAAGGCAACGAUGCGUAGCCGACCUGAGAGAGUGAUAGGCCACACUGGAACUGAGACACGGUCCAGACUCCUACGGGAGGCAGCAGUAGGGAAUCUUACGCAAUGGGCGAAAGCUUGACGGAGCAACGCCGCGUGAGUGAUGAAGGUCUUCGGAUCGUAAAACUCUGUUAUUAGGGAAGAACAAAUGUGUAAGUAACUAUGCACGUCUUGACGGUACCUAAUCAGAAAGCCACGGCUAACUACGUG
rnacentral:rRNA from 1 species